UACGUAGGGGGCAAGCGUUGUCCGGAUUCAUUGGGCGUAAAGAGCGUGUAGGCGGCCAGAUAGGUCGGUUGUGAAAACUGGAGGCUCAACCUCCAGACGUCGAUGGAAACCGUCUGGCUAGAGUCCGGAAGAGGAGAGUGGAAUUCCUGGUGUAGCGGUGAAAUGCGCAGAUAUCAGGAAGAACACCCGUGGCGAAAGCGGCUCUCUGGGACGGUACUGACGCUGAGACGCGAAAGCGUGGGGAGCGAACAGG
rnacentral:rRNA from 1 species